UUGGUCAUUUAGAGGAAGUAAAAGCCGUAACAAGGUCUCCGUUGGUGAACCAGCGGAGGGAUCAUUACCGAGUUUACAACUCCCAAACCCCUGUGAACAUACCAAUUGUUGCCUCGGCGGAUCAGCCCGCUCCCGGUAAAACGGGACGGCCCGCCAGAGGACCCCUAAACUCUGUUUCUAUAUGUAACUUCUGAGUAAAACCAUAAAUAAAUCAAAACUUUCAACAACGGAUCUCUUGGUUCUGGCAUCGAUGAAGAACGCAGCAAAAUGCGAUAAGUAAUGUGAAUUGCAGAAUUCAGUGAAUCAUCGAAUCUUUGAACGCACAUUGCGCCCGCCAGUAUUCUGGCGGGCAUGCCUGUUCGAGCGUCAUUUCAACCCUCAAGCCCCCGGGUUUGGUGUUGGGGAUCGGCGAGCCUCACGGCAAGCCGGCCCCGAAAUACAGUGGCGGUCUCGCUGCAGCUUCCAUUGCGUAGUAGUAAAACCCUCGCAACUGGUACGCGGCGCGGCCAAGCCGUUAAACCCCCAACUUCUGAAUGUUGACCUCGGAUCAGGUAGGAAUACCCGCUGAACUUAAGCAUAUCAAUAAG
rnacentral:rRNA from 1 species